UACGGAGGGGGCUAGCGUUGUUCGGAAUUACUGGGCGUAAAGCGCGAGUAGGCGGCUUUUCAAGUCAGGGGUGAAAUCCCGGGGCUCAACCUCGGCAUUGCCCUUGAGACUGGAAGGCUUGAACACGGGAGAGGUGAGUGGAAUUCCGAGUGUAGAGGUGAAAUUCGUAGAUAUUCGGAAGAACACCAGUGGCGAAGGCGGCUCACUGGACCGUUGUUGACGCUGAGGUGCGAAAGCGUGGGGAGCAAACAGG
rnacentral:misc_RNA from 1 species